UUCGGGACGCUGGCGAGUGGCGAACGGGUGAGUAACACGUGGAGACCUACCCUGGGGUGGGGGAUAACAACUAGAAAUGGUUGCUAAUACCGCAUACGCCUUACGAGGGAAAGAUUUAUUGCCCUGGGAGGGUUCCGCGUCGGAUUAGCUAGUUGGUGGGGUAAUGGCCUACCAAGGCGACGAUCCGUAGCUGGUCUGAGAGGAUGAUCAGCCACACUGGGACUGAGACACGGCCCAGACUCCUACGGGAGGCAGCAGUGGGGAAUAUUGCGCAAUGGGGGAAACCCUGACGCAGCGACGCCGCGUGGGUGAAGAAGGCCUUAGGGUUGUAAAGCCCUUUCAGUGGGAAAGAUGAUGACGGUACCCACAGAAGAAGCUCCGGCUAACUCCGUGCCAGCAGCCGCGGUAAUACGGAGGGGGCUAGCGUUGUUCGGAAUUACUGGGCGUAAAGGGCGCGUAGGCUGUUAUGCAAG
rnacentral:rRNA from 1 species